UUCACGUUACAUUCACCAGUCCACCACAGCUGAAUUACAUAAAUAAAAAUAUUUAAGAAACUUGCUGUCAUAGUUUCAAUCAUUACAUACAUGAAUAUUUCACGCCUACACUUACACAAUUGCUUCUAAAUAAGUUUCAGAAAUAUUGGGUCCAUUAGAAAAAAAGAGUUUCCAUAGGCGGGACACAAACGACCUUCUGCAAUGAGGCGGCUAUCCCGAUAAGCACCGGCUUAUCGGUCGCUGUCACGUACUACUUCACCGAAACGCUCCUCCCCGGACAGUGCGUGACCUACAACGUGGGUCGCGUCUGGUUCACGGCGUUCGUGUAUCUCUCCUCCGGCUUCGACCCGGACGGCGGAGGCCAGCAGAUUUACUUCUUGACCAACGAAACCACCGCGGUCGGAAGACACCUGCUGCCUCUUUUUAGCUCGGUCGCGUCCUACUUACCCGUCACGAAGGAGGAGGCCAAGUACCUCAUGGAGGAAAGUGACGGUUUUGUCCGGGAUGACUAUGACGCGGUGUGGAACGCCAUUGUGGCCGCGUUGUACAGCUGAUCACACCAUCCGGGUCACGGGCGGACCGAAGAGGACCGUUUCGAAAAUUGACGAUUAUAUCGUGCCCGUUAAUAUUUUACCUUUUAAGAAUAAGUUUGACCCAUUCGUGAUGCAUAUUGAUUGAUUACGCCGAAAAUGGGAAGAAUGCGCAUCGCAAAAUGCACUGAUUUUUGUUACCUUUAUUGAUUGGGUUUAAACUAUAAAUAUGGAACAUGGGUAAUUUUAAACAUUUGAUUUAUGCAAACCAGGUAUAGUAAUUUUGUGCGAAUAAAGGAAGGGUGUUUUCUUGUAUAAAUUUUUAAGCGGAGCGGAGUGACCUCGAAGGAGAAAAUUUUCACUCCUCCGCUCGCCCGCUUGAGAAAAAAAAAGCCGCUACUGUGAACUUUGCCCUCAAAUAUCUGACC